rnacentral:rRNA from 1 species
CUCUCGGCAACGGAUAUCUAGGCUCUCGCAUCGAUGAAGAACGUAGCGAAAUGCGAUACUUGGUGUGAAUUGCAGAAUCCCGCGAAUCAUCGAGUUUUUGAACGCAAGUUGCGCCCGAAGCCUUCCGGCCGAGGGCACGUCUGCCUGGGUGUCACGCAUCGUUGC